rnacentral:snRNA from 1 species
GGAUGUGAGGGCGAUCUGGCUGCGACAUCUGUCACCCCAUUGAUCGCCAGGGUUGAUUCGGCUGAUCUGGCUGGCUAGGCGGGUGUCCCCUUCUUCCCUCACCACUCCAUGUGCGUCCCUCCCGAAGCUGCGCGCUCGGUCGAAGAGGACGACCAUCCCCGAUAGAGGAGGACCGUUCUUCGGUCAAGGGUAUACGAGUAGCUGCGCUCCCCUGCUAGAACCUCCAAACAAGCUCUCAAAAGGCUGAACUUCCAAGUGGAGGUGGUUUAAAAAAAAAAUCACAAGCAGGGCACCAGUAGGACAUGGCUCAUUUCUCU